rnacentral:rRNA from 1 species
UACGUAGGAGGCAAGCGUUAUCCGGAAUGACUGGGCGUAAAGGGUGCGUAGGUGGUUCAGCAAGUUAGUAGCGUAACUCCGGAGCUCAACUUCGGCACUACUACUAAAACUGUUGGACUUGAGUGCAGGAGGGGCAACUGGAAUUCCUAGUGUAGCGGUGGAAUGCGUAGAUAUUAGGAAGAACACCGGUGGCGAAGGCGAGUUGCUGGACUGUAACUGACACUGAGGCACGAAAGCGUGGGGAGCAAACAGG